rnacentral:rRNA from 1 species
CCCUUAGAUGUUCUGGGCCGCACGCGCGCUACACUGACGAAGUCAGCGAGCAUGUCCUACGCCGACAGGUGCGGGGAAUCUUGUCAAACUUCGUCGUGAUGGGGAUUGAUUUUUGAAAUUCUUGAUCAUCAACGAGGAAUUCCUAGUAAGCGCAAGUCAGCAGCUUGCGUUGAUUACGUCCCUGCCCUUUGUACACACCGCCCGUCGCUACUACCGAUUGAAUGGUUUAGUGAGAUCUUCGGAUUGGCGCCACUGCGGCUCAGCAAUGGGCUCGGUGGAUGCCGAAAAGUUGAUCAAACUUGAUCAUUUAGAGGAAGUAAAAGUCGUAACA